rnacentral:rRNA from 1 species
UACAGAGGUCUCAAGCGUUGUUCGGAUUCAUUGGGCGUAAAGGGUGCGUAGGUGGCGCGGUAAGUCGGGUGUGAAAUUUCGGAGCUUAACUCCGAAACUGCAUUCGAUACUGCCGUGCUUGAGGACUGGAGAGGAGACUGGAAUUUUACGGUGUAGCAGUGAAAAUGCGUAGAGAUCGUAAGGAAGACCAGUGGCGAAGGCGGGUCUCUGGACAGUUCCUGACACUGAGGCACGAAGGCCAGGGAGC